CCUACGGGGCGCAGCAGUCGAGAAUCAUUCACAAUGGGGGAAACCCUGAUGGUGCGACGCCGCGUGGGGGAAUGAAGGUCUUCGGAUUGUAAACCCCUGUCAUGUGGGAGCAAAUUAAAAAGAUAGUACCACAAGAGGAAGAGACGGCUAACUCUGUGCCAGCCGCCGCGGUAAUACAGAGGUCUCAAGCGUUGUUCGGAAUCACUGGGCGUAAAGCGUGCGUAGGCUGUUUCGUAAGUCGUGUGUGAAAGGCGCGGGCUCAACCCGCGGACGGCACAUGAUACUGCGAGACUAGAGUAAGGGAGGGGGGACCGGAAUUCUCGGUGUAGCAGUGAAAUGCGUAGAUAUCGAGAGGAACACUCGUGGCGAAGGCGGGUUCCUGGACAUUAACUGACGCUGAGGCACGAAGGCCAGGGGAGCGAAAGGGAUUAGAUACCCGAGUAGUC
rnacentral:rRNA from 1 species